rnacentral:rRNA from 1 species
UAGGGAAUCUUCCGCAAUGGGCGAAAGCCUGACGGAGCAACGCCGCGUGAGUGAUGAAGGUCUUCGGAUCGUAAAACUCUGUUAUUAGGGAAGAACAAAUGUGUAAGUAACUAUGCACGUCUUGACGGUACCUAAUCAGAAAGCCACGGCUAACUACGUGCCAGCAGCCGCGGUAAUACGUAGGUGGCAAGCGUUGUCCGGAUUUAUUGGGCGUAAAGCGAGCGCAGGCGGUCAAUUAAGUCUGAUGUGAAAGCCCCCGGCUCAACCGGGGAGGGUCAUUGGAAACUGGUUGACUUGAGUGCAGAAGAGGAGAGUGGAAUUCCAUGUGUAGCGGUGAAAUGCGUAGAUAUAUGGAGGAACACCAGUGGCGAAGGCGACUCUCUGGUCUGUAACUGACGCUGAGGUUCGAAAGCGUGGGUAGCAAACAGG